GAUGAACGCCGGCGGUGUGCCUAAUACAUGCAAGUCGUACGCACUGGCCCAACUGAUUGAUGGUGCUUGCACCUGAUUGACGAUGGAUCACCAGUGAGUGGCGGACGGGUGAGUAACACGUAGGUAACCUGCCCCGGAGCGGGGGAUAACAUUUGGAAACAGAUGCUAAUACCGCAUAAGCACACAGUACCGCAUGGUACGGUGUGAAAAACUCCGGUGGUAUGAGAUGGACCCGCGUCUGAUUAGCUGGUUGGCGGGGUAACGGCCCACCAAGGCGACGAUCAGUAGCCGACCUGAGAGGGUGACCGGCCACAUUGGGACUGAGACACGGCCCAA
rnacentral:rRNA from 1 species